AGAUUGAACGCUGGCGGCAUGCCUAACACAUGCAAGUCGAACGGGAGUAGCAAUACUCUAGUGGCGGACGGGUGAGGAAUACGUAGGAAUUUGCCCUUAAGUGGGGGAUAACCCGGGGAAACCCGGAUUAAUACCGCAUGACCUCGAAAGAGCAAAGUGGGGGAUCGCAAGACCUCACGCUUUUGGAGAAGCCUACGUCGGAUUAGCUAGUUGGUGAGGUAAUGGCUCACCAAGGCGACGAUCCGUAACUGGUCUAGAGAGGAUGAUCAGUCACGACCGGAACUGAGACACGGUCCGGACUCCGUACGGGAGCAGCAGGUGGGAAUAGUGGACAAGUGGGCGACAACGCCUGAUCCGAGACAAGUCGCCGCGUGU
rnacentral:rRNA from 1 species